AUGUUUCUCCGGAAAACACUUAGGUGCCUAGUUGAUGUGGUUAAUUCUGAAACUUCUACUCUUGCUAUUGUUGCAAUGCAAGCAUUGGGUCAUAUUGGACUGCGUAUUUCAUUACCUCCACUUGAGGAUUCUAAUUCAGAUGGAACUCUGAUAGUUCUGUAUGAUAAGUUGAGUAAACUUCCAAGUUCCAUACCGCAACUCUAUUUCUCUCAUAGUGAAACCAUAUUUGUUAAUGGCACAGCAAUCUGCAGCAAAUGUUACAAGCCCAGAAAAGUAAAACAACAACAUAUGCAGAGGAAUAGAGUAUCAAAGUAA